UACGGAGGGUGCAAGCGUUAUCCGGAUUCACUGGGUUUAAAGGGCGCGUAGGCGGCCUGAUAAGUCAAAGGUGAAAUCCCUCGGCUCAACUGAGGAAUUGCCUUUGAAACUGUCAGGCUUGAGGCCGGGAGGGGGUGGCGGAAUUCCCAGUGUAGCGGUGAAAUGCGUAGAUAUUGGGAGGAACACCAGUGGCGAAGGCGGCCACCUGGACCGGUUCUGACGCUGAUGCGCGAAAGCGUGGGGAGCAAACAGG
rnacentral:rRNA from 1 species